AUUGAACGCUGGCGGCAGGCUUAACACAUGCAAGUCGAACGAGACCUUCGGGUCUAGUGGCGCACGGGUGCGUAACGCGUGGGAAUCUGCCCUUGGGUUCGGAAUAACUCGCCGAAAGGCGUGCUAAUACCGGAUGAUGUCGUGAGACCAAAGAUUUAUCGCCCAGGGAUGAGCCCGCGUAAGAUUAGGUAGUUGGUGAGGUAAAGGCCCACCAAGCCGACGAUCCUUAGCUGGUCUGAGAGGAUGAUCAGCCACACUGGGACUGAGACACGGCCCAG
rnacentral:rRNA from 1 species